rnacentral:rRNA from 1 species
GGGGAAUUUUGGACAAUGGGGGCAACCCUGACCCAGCCAUGCCGCGUGCGGGAAGAAGGCCUUCGGGUUGUAAACCGCUUUUAGUCGGGAAGAAAAGGCGCGGGUGAAUACCCCGCGUUUUUGACGGUACCGGCGGAAUAAGCACCGGCUAACUACGUGCCAGCAGCCGCGGUAAUACGUAGGGUGCAAGCGUUAAUCGGAAUUACUGGGCGUAAAGCGUGCGCAGGCGGUUUUGUAAGUCUGUCGUGAAAGCCCCGGGCUCAACCUGGGAAUUGCGAUGGAGACUGCAAGGCUUGAAUCUGGCAGAGGGGGGUAGAAUUCCACGUGUAGCAGUGAAAUGCGUAGAGAUGUGGAGGAACACCGAUGGCGAAGGCAGCCCCCUGGGUCAAGAUUGACGCUCAUGCACGAAAGCGUGGGGAGCAAAC